rnacentral:rRNA from 1 species
AGUUUGAUCCUGGCUCAGGAUGAACGCUAGCUACAGGCUUAACACAUGCAAGUCGAGGGGCAGCAUUAUCGAAGCUUGCUUGAUAGAUGGCGACCGGCGCACGGGUGAGUAACGCGUAUCCAACCUUCCCAUCACUCAGGGAUAGCCCGCCGAAAGGCGAAUUAAUACCUGAUGGUCUCCUUUGCAGACAUCUAACGAGGAGUAAAGAUUCAUUGGUGAUGGAUGGGGAUGCGUCUGAUUAGGUAGUAGGCGGGGUAACGGCCCACCUAGCCGACGAUCAGUAGGGGUUCUGAGAGGAAGGUCCCCCACAUUGGAACUGAGACACGGUCCAAACUCCUACGGGAGGCAGCAGUGAGGAAUAUUGGUCAAUGGACGGAAGUCUGAACCAGCCAAGUAGCGUGCAGGAUGACGGCCCUAUGGGUUGUAAACUGCUUUUGUGCGGGAAUAAAGUAUGGGACGUGUCCCGUUUUGCAUGUACCGCACGAAUAAGGACCGGCUAAUUCCGUGCCAGCCGCCGC